AGUGAACGCUGGCGGUAGGCCUAACACAUGCAAGUCGAACGGCAGCACAGUAAGAGCUUGCUCUUACGGGUGGCGAGUGGCGGAAGGGUGAGGAAUACAUCGGAAUCUACUUUUUCGUGGGGGAUAACGUAGGGAAACUUACGCUAAUACCGCAUACGACCUACGGGUGAAAGCAGGGGAUCUUCGGACCUUGCGCGAUUGAAUGAGCCGAUGUCGGAUUAGCUAGUUGGCGGGGUAAAGGCCCACCAAGGCGACGAUCCGUAGCUGGUCUGAGAGGAUGAUCAGCCACACUGGAACUGAGACACGGUCCAGACUCCGACGGGAGGCAGCAGUGGGGAAUAUUGGACAAUGGGGGCAAGCCUGAUCCAGCCAUACCGCGUGGGUGAAGAAGGCCUUCGGGUGGUAAAGCCCUUUUGUUGGGAAAGAAAAGCAGCAGGUUAAUACCCCGCUGUUCUGACGGUACCCAAAGAAUAAGCACCGGCUAACUUCGUG
rnacentral:rRNA from 1 species